UACGAAGGGGGCUAGCGUUGUUCGGAAUCACUGGGCGUAAAGCGCACGCAGGCGGUUCGUUAAGUCAGGGGUGAAAUGCCGAGGCUCAACCUCGGAACUGCCUUUGAUACUGGCGAUCUUAGAGUCCGGGAGAGGUGAGUGGAACUCCGAGUGUAGAGGUGAAAUUCGUAGAUAUUCGCAAGAACACCAGUGGCGAAGGCGGCUCACUGGCCCGGUACUGACGCUGAGGUGCGAAAGCGUGGGGAGCAAACAGG
rnacentral:rRNA from 1 species